rnacentral:rRNA from 1 species
GUAGCCGACCUGAGAGGGUGAUCGGCCACACUGGGACUGAGACACGGCCCAGACUCCUACGGGAGGCAGCAGUAGGGAAUCUUCCGCAAUGGACGAAAGUCUGACGGAGCAACGCCGCGUGAGUGAUGAAGGUUUUCGGAUCGUAAAGCUCUGUUGUUAGGGAAGAACAAGUACCGUUCGAAUAGGGCGGUACCUUGACGGUACCUAACCAGAAAGCCACGGCUAACUACGUGCCAGCAGCCGCGGUAAUACGUAGGUGGCAAGCGUUGUCCGGAAUUAUUGGGCGUAAAGGGCUCGCAGGCGGUUUCUUAAGUCUGAUGUGAAAGCCCCCGGCUCAACCGGGGAGGGUCAUUGGAAACUGGGGAACUUGAGUGCAGAAGAGGAGAGUGGAAUUCCACGUGUAGCGGUGAAAUGCGUAGAGAUGUGGAGGAACACCAGUGGCG